ACUAGGAGACCUGGGGGCUUAAAGCAGAAGUCUCCAAACCUUUUUGAUUGCACACCCCUAUCAGUAAAAAUUUUUUGAGCAUGUACCCCUUGCUGCGCC